UAGGGAAUAUUGGUCAAUGGGCGGAAGCCUGAACCAGCCAUGCCGCGUGCAGGAAGACGGCCUUCUGGGUUGUAAACUGCUUUUACCAGGGAACAAAUAGGCCAUGCGUGGCAAGUUGAGUGUACCUGGGGAAUAAGCACCGGCUAACUCCGUGCCAGCAGCCGCGGUAAUACGGAGGGUGCAAGCGUUGUCCGGAUUUAUUGGGCGUAAAGCGUCCGCAGGCGGCACUAUAAGUCUGCUGUCAAAGACCGCAGCUCAACUGCGGAAAGGCAGUGGAAACUGUAGAGCUAGAGUACGGUAGGGGUAGAGGGAAUUCCCAGUGUAGCGGUGAAAUGCGUAGAGAUUGGGAAGAACACCAGUGGCGAAAGCGCUCUACUGGGCCGUAACUGACGCUCAGGGACGAAAGCUAGGGGAGCGAAAGGGAUUAGAUACCCCCGUAGUCC
rnacentral:rRNA from 1 species